AGCUUUGAGCUAAAUAUAUUAUAAUAUUAGUUAUUUAAAAAAGGUGUCGUAUAACCUUAUUAAAAAUUAUAUUUAGGGGUGAUAGGCUUUUCAAAAACUAAGAUAUCUUGAAUCUAAUUAAAAGUAUGUAGUACAAUUAACACGACUAUUAAGUGAUUAGGCUUUAUAGGACUAUUAAACUAUAAGAUAUUUUAUUUAUUAAAAUUUAAUAACUAAGUAUAUAUAUAAAUUAACAUUCAUAUAUUAUAUUUUAUAAAAGAAUAAUUAGAUAGAUUUAAGUUUAUAAAAAUUGUAAUAAUGUUAAUAUUAGUAUAUAAUUUAUAUUUAUAUGAUGAACUCGGCAUAAAUGCUUCUCAACUGUUUAUCAAAAACAUAACUAUGUGAAUAUAUACAUAGCGGUUUCUGCUCAA
rnacentral:rRNA from 1 species